CUUUGGGGUUCCUGGUUCCAGGACUUGACUCUUGGAUGGCAUUUCGUGACCUGCCCUGGACCAAAGAGGUGCCCACUACCCUGAAGGAAUUGCAGAAUGAACAAGAAUUUCCCAACCAACUAUCUGCUGCUUUCAAGAGUCUCACCUGCCACAAAAUGACUCACAUAAACUUAAGGUAAUUGUGUCUCUGUACUACGUGACACUCCCAUUGGAUGCAUCCUCCAAUCUGGAAAGAGUUAAUUUCCUAAACCUUAAACUGGUUGGCUUAGUAUUGGGCUCAGGGGAAGGGAACCCAACAGUCAUGAAACUGGAGCCUCUGAUGAUUGUCCCUUCUGCUGGGAACCCUUAGAUAGGCCUCCGAGGGAGAUCUGACUGCCGUUUCCCCAGGACAGCGCCACCUAUCAACAGGAAACAGUGACAACAGUGAAUAGCAGAAGGAAGAAUAAUACAAUUUUUAAAAAGGAGACUCUAGAGAUGUCACAAA
rnacentral:lncRNA from 1 species